rfam:Oryza glaberrima chromosome 2 Oglab02_0058_13, whole genome shotgun sequence.
ACCGGAUGGGACACUUCAUAGUGCAACGAAUCUGGACAGGAAGCAUGUCCGGAUUCGUUAUACUAUAAAGUGUCCUAUUCGGU